UACGAAGGGGGCGAGCGUUGUUCGGAAUUACUGGGCGUAAAGGGCGCGCAGGCGGCUCGUCAAGUCAGGCGUGAAAGCCCCGGGCUUAACCUGGGAAUUGCGCUUGGGACUGGAGGGCUUGAGUACGGGAGAGGAGAGUGGAAUUCCCAGUGUAGAGGUGAAAUUCGUAGAUAUUGGGAAGAACACCGGUGGCGAAGGCGGCUCUCUGGACCGUAACUGACGCUGAGGCGCGAAAGCGUGGGGAGCAAACAGG
rnacentral:rRNA from 1 species